CCUGGCUCAGAUUGAACGCUGGCGGCAGGCCUAACACAUGCAAGUCGAGCGGCAGCACGGGUACUUGUACCUGGUGGCGAGCGGCGGACGGGUGAGUAAUGCCUAGGAAUCUGCCUGGUAGUGGGGGAUAACGUUCGGAAACGAACGCUAAUACCGCAUACGUCCUACGGGAGAAAGCAGGGGACCUUCGGGCCUUGCGCUAUCAGAUGAGCCUAGGUCGGAUUAGCUAGUUGGUGAGGUAAUGGCUCACCAAGGCGACGAUCCGUAACUGGUCUGAGAGGAUGAUCAGUCACACUGGAACUGAGACACGGUCCAGACUCCUACGGGAGGCAGCAGUGGGGAAUAUUGGACAAUGGGCGAAAGCCUGAUCCAGCCAUGCCGCGUGUGUGAAGAAGGUCUUCGGAUUGUAAAGCACUUUAAGUUGGGAG
rnacentral:rRNA from 1 species